AGAGGGUGCGAGCGUUAAUCGGAAUUACUGGGCGUAAAGCGUACGUAGGUGGCGUAUUAAGUUAACUGUGAAAGCCCCGGGCUCAACCUGGGAAGGCCAGUUAAUACUGAUAUGCUAGAGUACAGUAGGGGGUAGUGGAAUUUCCGGUGUAGCGGUGAAAUGCGUAGAUAUCGGAAGGAACACCAGUAGCGAAGGCGGCUACCUGGACUGAUACUGACACUGAGGUACGAAAGCGUGGGGAGCGAACAGGAUUAGAUACCCUGGUAGUCCACGCCGUAAACGAUGUCAACUAGCUGUUGGUCUCAUAUAAGAGAUUAGUGGCGCAGCUAACGCGUUAAGUUGACCGCCUGGGGGAUACGGCCGCAAGGUUA
rnacentral:rRNA from 1 species